rnacentral:rRNA from 1 species
GGAUGCGAUCAUACCAGCACUAAAGCACCGGAUCCCAUCAGAACUCCGCAGUCAAGCGUGCUUGGGCGAGAGUAGUACUAGGAUGGGUGACCCCCUGGGAAGUCCUCGUGUUGCAUCCC